CAGGAUGAACGCUGGCGGCGUGCCUAAUACAUGCAAGUCGAGCGGUAAGGCGUUCACAGGCUUAUUUAGACCAGGAUAAGUCCCUUAUGGAUACUGUCUGCAGCGAUGAUAACCCGGCUAUGUGAUCAUGGUUGAAUAAUGCGUGAAAGUACACGAGCGGCGGACGGCUGAGUAACGCGUAGGAACAUACCCCAAAGUGAGGGAUAAGCAUCAGAAAUGGUGUCUAAUACCGCAUGUGGCCAACUAUGAGAAAAACCUACGGUUUUUCUCAUCGCACCUUCCCGAGUAAAUCGGGAUUCGCCUAGCGGUGAAACGGUGCUGCUCUUUUCCCUAGCCCGUGAUCGGGUGGAAAGGAAAGGAGAGCAGGAACGGUCUAGCUUUAGCUAGAUGCGAAUUCAUUUCGCAAGUUCCGAUGAGAGGAAAACCAUAGGUUUGCCUCUCAUGUUGGUUAAAGCUUCGGCGCUUUGGGAAUGGCCUGCGUAUGAUUAGCUUGUUGGUGAGGUAAUAGCUCACCAAGGCGACGAUCAUUAGCUGGUCUGAGAGGAUGAUCAGCCAGACUGGGACUGAGACACGGCCCAGACUCCUACGGGAGGCAGCAGUAGGGAAAUUUGCCACAAUGGGGGCAACCCUGAUGGAGCAACGCCGCGUGCAGGAUGAAUGCCUUCGGGUUGUAAACUGCUUUGAUCUGUGACGAUUAUGACGGUAGCAGAUGAAUAAGGAUCGGCUAACUCCGUGCCAGCAGCCGCGGUCAUACGGAGGAUCCAAGCGUUAUCCGGAAUUACUGGGCGUAAAGAGUUGCGUAGGUGGCAGAGUAAGUUGGUAGUGAAAUGACGUGGCUCAACCAUGUGUCCAUUACCAGAACUGCUCAGCUAGAGGACGAGAGAGGUAGUUGGAAUUCCUGAUGUAGGGGUAAAAUCCGUUGAUAUUAGGAGGAACACCGAUGGCGUAGGCAGACUACUGGCUCGUUCCUGACACUAAGGCACGAAAGCGUGGGGAGCAAACAGGAUUAGAUACCCUGGUAGUCCGCGCCGCAAACUAUGGAUGCUAGCUGUUAUACGUAUCGACCCGUGUAGUAGCGAAGCUAACGCGUUAAGCAUCCCGCCUGUGGAGUACGAGCGCAAGCUUAAAACAUAAAGGAAUUGACGGGGACCCGCACAAGCGGUGGAGCGUGUUCUUUAAUUCGAGGGUAAGCGAAGAACCUUACCAGGGUUUGACAUCCUACUAAUUUCUCCGAAAGGAGAAAGUGCCUUCGGGCCGUAGUGACAGGUGAUGCAUGGCCGUCUUCAGCUCGUGUCGUGAGAUGUCUGGUUAAGUCCAUCAACGAGCGCAACCCUUAUACUUAGUUGGAUUUUUCUAGGCAGACUGCCCCGGUCAACGGGGAGGAAGGAGGGGAUGAUGUC
rnacentral:rRNA from 1 species